CUCUGUCAAAUAAAUAAAUAAAUAAAUCUUUAAAAAAAAAAUACUUUUAAAAUAAAUAAAUAAAUAAAUAAAUAAAAUCAUUGUCUCCGAUUUUAUUUUUAAAAACGUUUUAAAAACAUUUUCAAAAGUCCUAGGGUGAUUAAAAGUUUUCAUUGUGAUUGCCACUCCUUAUUUUGAAGAGAGUCAUGGUAACUGUCACUAGACAAAAAGAAAGCUUUUGAAAUUACCCGUGAGGUGUUCAGUAGUGUCCUUCUUGACACAACAUUAGGCGUCCAAGUCAGGAAUAGAAAGAAUCUACAGAAUGGGAUGUUUUCUCUCCCCAUCUUCCCACAGCUUCUCUUUGAGUUUAAAUUCUCUUACUGCUUCUUUCCUAGAUUCCUUUCCAAAUAUGUUCAUGCAGAUGAAGAAGAGCUUUCUGGGAUAUUUCAGUUGCCAGGUCCUGUGCAUAACGGGAUCACUCUAGGGACACUGAGACCCAGAAGAAAAGAACGAGUCGGUGAAAACACCUGUUUAAGACCAGGAAAGCACGAGUUUGGCGAGCCUCUAAACCAGCGUGGGGGCUCUGCUUGCCCCAAAUGCAAAUGUGGAGGACUCUGAGCUUAGAAACAAUAGCAUUUCUCGAGACAUCAACUGUUAGAUACAUACCAGAUAUCUGAUGGGUGUGAUAUUCUUUCUUUAUUCCUUGACUCUCUCAUGUUUUGAAAUGUUUAUGUAUGUAUACGUACAUAUAGAUACCCAUGUACAUGUAUGUGUUUGCAUGUGUAAAUAUG
rnacentral:lncRNA from 1 species